AUUGAACGCUGGCGGCAGGCCUAACACAUGCAAGUCGAGCGGAUGAAGGGAGCUUGCUCCUGGAUUCAGCGGCGGACGGGUGAGUAAUGCCUAGGAAUCUGCCUGGUAGUGGGGGAUAACAUCCGGAAACGGGCGCUAAUACCGCAUACGUCCUGAGGGAGAAAGUGGGGGAUCUUCGGACCUCACGCUAUCAGAUGAGCCUAGGUCGGAUUAGCUAGUUGGUGGGGUAAAGGCCUACCAAGGCGACGAUCCGUAACUGGUCUGAGAGGAUGAUCAGUCACACUGGAACUGGGACACGGUCCAGACUCCUACGGGAGGCAGCAGUGGGGAAUAUUGGACAAAGGGCGAAAGCCUGAUCCAGCCAUGCCGCGUGUGUGAAGAAGGUCUUCGGAUUGUAAAGCACUUUAAGUUGGGAGGAAGGGCAGUAAGUUAAUACCUUGCUGUUUUGACGUUACCAACAGAAUAAGCACCGGCUAACUUCGUG
rnacentral:rRNA from 1 species